GAUGAAGAACGUAGCGAAAUGCGAUAAGUAGUGUGAAUUGCAGAAUUCAGUGAAUCAUCGAAUCUUUGAACGCACAUUGCGCCCCUUGGUAUUCCAUGGGGCAUGCCUGUUCGAGCGUCAUUUGUACCUUCAAGCUCUGCUUGGUGUUGGGUGUUUGUCUCGCCUUGCGCGUAGACUCGCCUUAAAACAAUUGGCAGCCGGCGUAUUGAUUUCGGAGCGCAGUACAUCUCGCGCUUUGCACUCAUAACGACGACGUCCAAAAGUACUUUUUACACUCUUGACCUCGGAUCAGGUAGGGAUACCCGCUGAACUUAAGCAUAUCAAUAAGCGGGGGA
rnacentral:misc_RNA from 1 species